AAGCUCGUAGUUGAAUUUCGGGAUUAGUACGUCGGUCGUGCCUUAGGUACGUACUGGUGUUACUGGUUCCUACCUUCUGACGAACCAUCAUGUCAUUAAUUUGAUGUGGUGGGGAAUCAGGACCGUUACUUUGAAAAAAUUAGAGUGUUUAAAGCAGGCUCGCGCUUGAAUACAUUAGCAUGGAAUAAUGAAAUAGGACGUUGAUCCUAUUUUGUUGGUUUCUAGGAUUGACGUAAUGAUUAAUAGGGAUAGUUGGG
rnacentral:rRNA from 1 species